AACGAACGCUGGCGGCAUGCCUAACACAUGCCAGUCGAACGAGACCUUCGGGUCUAGUGGCGCACGGGUGCGUAACGCGUGGGAACCUGCCCUUAGGGUCGGAAUAACUCCCCGAAAGGGGUGCUAAUACCGGAUAAUGUCUUCGGACCAAAGAUUUAUCGCCUUUGGAUGGGCCCGCGUUGGAUUAGCUAGUUGGUAGGGUAAAAGCCUCCCAAGGCGACGAUCCAUAGCUGGUCUGAGAGGAUGAUCAGCCACACUGGGACUGAGACACGGCCCAGACUCCUACGGGAGGCAGCAGUGGGGAAUAUUGGACCAUGGGCGAAAGCCUGAUCCAGCAAUGCCGCGUGAGUGAUGAAGGCCGUAGGGUUGUAAAGCUCUUUUACCCGGGAUGAUAAUGACAGUACCGGGAGAAUAAGCUCCGGCUAACUCCGUG
rnacentral:rRNA from 1 species